UACUCUUGGUUGAAAGGUCGGGAUUGGUAUGGACGGUGAUGAAAUUAUAUUCUGAGUCCCUUUUUCUCAACCUGCUCUGGUACCAUAUUGAAAUUGAUAUCCAAGAGAGAAGAGGAAGAAGACAUUGCAGGAGAAUUGUUUUCUUUGUCGUAUUUCAUCGUUUGGAGUGAGCCUCUUAAUAUAGAGGCUUACCCUAAUUUACAAAUGGCUGUAUACAUUCCUUGGAUCACCUCUAACCUCUUUUCAAUAGCAUACGGGGCUGUUAUGAUUCAUCCUCGAGUUCAGAAAUUGUUGGGGAUAUCAUUGGAGAUACCACAUUCCACUCGAAAAUAGACAUCAUGAAGUUAGAGUGGCCAAAAAUAGCAGUAUUUUGAACUCGUUAUUUCAUGUCUUCAAUCAAUAACCAAACAUGGUGAUGUGGUAUCACAAACUAACUAGGAUUUAAGAGCGUUAGCU